UUUGCAUCAAGAGUCAUGAAGGAGGAACUAUUUACUCAGUGAAGCUGUGUGGAAUAGAGAGGACGGAUGGACAUAGAGGACAGAUCUCUACUCUCAUCCCCACCCCAGUAAAACUAAGUCCACUUUGGAACAUGCAAAGCCACUGAUACAACCAUGGGAGCUGCGACCUCAGGACCUUCUCCAAUCGUAAUCUUCUCUCAAAGGUGCCACCUACAAAUACCAUUGACCAAUGGCACCAAGGAUUUAGUUUCAGCAAGAGCUUUAGAGGGAUAAAUACCUAGGACAUAGCAGGUGGCUCCUGGUAACAAGAUUACCUCACGCUGUCUUGUGUGGCAGAACCUGAGCUUCCUUAGAGACCCAUCUACCAGGCUCAAGAAAGCUCCAAACAGCAGAGACUGUGGUGUUAUCAUUCUGUUUUGUUCUGGUUACUUUUCUGGGCAGCCCAUUCCUAUGUAUUGAAUAAUCCAUAGUCAUUUUUUGUCAUUACUUCUUGAGAGAUCUGUAAACCAGCUCCAACUUUCUGGAACAUUCACUAAAAUAAAUGGGUUUUUCUAUUA
rnacentral:lncRNA from 1 species